rnacentral:rRNA from 1 species
UAGGGAAUAUUGGGCAAUGGAUGCAAGUCUGACCCAGCCAUGCCGCGUGCCGGAUGGAGGCCCUCAGGGUUGUAAACGGCUUUUAUUCGGGAAGAAGAGCGGGGAUGCGUCCUUGUGUGACGGUACCGAAUGAAUAAGCACCGGCUAACUCCGUGC